AUUGAACGCUGGCGGCAUGCUUUACACAUGCAAGUCGAACGGUAACAGGCCGCAAGGUGCUGACGAGUGGCGAACGGGUGAGUAAUGCAUCGGAACGUGCCCAGUCGUGGGGGAUAACGCAGCGAAAGCUGCGCUAAUACCGCAUACGAUCUAUGGAUGAAAGCGGGGGACCGUAAGGCCUCGCGCGAUUGGAGCGGCCGAUGUCAGAUUAGGUAGUUGGUGGGGUAAAGGCGCACCAAGCCAACGAUCUGUAGCUGGUCUGAGAGGACGACCAGCCACACUGGGACGGAGACACGGCCCAGACUCCUACGGGAGGCAGCAGUGGGGAAUUUUGGACAAUGGGCGCAAGCCUGAUCCAGCAAUGCCGCGUGCAGGAAGAAGGCCUUCGGGUUGUAAACUGCUUUUGUACGGAACGAAACGGCUCUGGUUAAUACCUGGGGCUAAUGACGGUACCGUAAGAAUAAGCACCGGCUAACUACGUGCCAGCCGCCGCAGUAA
rnacentral:rRNA from 1 species